rnacentral:rRNA from 1 species
UACGUAGGUGGCAAGCGUUGUCCGGAUUUACUGGGCGUAAAGAGCGCGCAGGCGGUCGUUCAAGUCGCGUGUGAAAGCCCCCCGGCUCGACUGGGGAGGGUCACGCGAUACUGAUCGACUCGAAGGCAGGAGAGGGUAGUGGAAUUCCCGGUGUAGUGGUGAAAUGCGUAGAUAUCGGGAGGAACACCAGUGGCGAAGGCGACUACCUGGCCUGUUCUUGACGCUGAGGCGCGAAAGCUAGGGGAGCAAACGGG